ACUCCUACGGGAGGCAGCAGUGGGGAAUAUUGGACAAUGGGCGCAAGCCUGAUCCAGCCAUGCCGCGUGAGUGAUGAAGGCCCUAGGGUUGUAAAGCUCUUUCACCGGUGAAGAUAAUGACGGUAACCGGAGAAGAAGCCCCGGCUAACUUCGUGCCAGCAGCCGCGGUAAUACGAAGGGGGCUAGCGUUGUUCGGAUUUACUGGGCGUAAAGCGCACGUAGGCGGACUAUUAAGUCAGGGGUGAAAUCCCGGGGCUCAACCCCGGAACUGCCUUUGAUACUGGUAGUCUUGAGUUCGAGAGAGGUGAGUGGAAUUCCGAGUGUAGAGGUGAAAUUCGUAGAUAUUCGGAGGAACACCAGUGGCGAAGGCGGCUCACUGGCUCGAUACUGACGCUGAGGUGCGAAAGCGUGGGGAGCAAACAGGAUUAGAAACCCCAGUAGUCCCAUG
rnacentral:rRNA from 1 species